rnacentral:rRNA from 1 species
UACGUAGGGGGCAAGCGUUGUCCGGAAUCAUUGGGCGUAAAGAGCGCGUAGGCGGCCCUGUAAGUCCGCUGUGAAAGUCAAGGGCUCAACCCUUGGAUGCCGGUGGAUACUGCAGGGCUAGAGUCCGGAAGAGGCGACUGGAAUUCCUGGUGUAGCAGUGAAAUGCGUAGAUAUCAGGAGGAAUACCGAUGGCGAAGGCAGGUCUCUGGGCUGACACUGACGCUCAUGCACGAAAGCGUGGGGAGCAAACAGG